GCCGGCGGCGAAAUCGCGGACGACAUCCUCCACGACGUCUUUGAGCGCCUGCCGGGCUACCAGGACCUCCUCCGCUGCGCAGCCACGUGCAAGCGAUGGCGCCGCCUCGUCACCGACCGCGCCUUCCUCCGACGCAUCGGCCUCUGGCCGCAGACGGCGCGCCACCCGUCCACCCUCGCCGGGAUCUUCUACCAGAUCACGUGCCCCGUCGGCAAGCCCCGUCAGAAACACGGCCAGCCUCCGGAAUUCUUGAACCUUCAGCUCGGGGGAGCGCAUGCUACCUUCAGCUCGUUCGUCCAUGGUGCGCAUCUCACCUUUGGAUCAUUGGUCGACAACGACGACGGUCUCUUCGCCUACGCAAGGUCACUCGCAUCGCGCCGUGGUCUUCUCCCCGUGAGCAUCCUGCUGCCUACCAUGUUCCACGACAUGCACGGUACAGGCGCCCGUGAUAAGAUCCAGCUGGUGGUAUGCCGUCCUGUGGUCGACAAGCAGCGCAGUCUUCUUCCAUUGCUUUCCUUCGACCUAAGUGGAUCUUUGGACUGGCACCUCACCGGCUGCGCACUCCUCACCGACGAGGACCGUGGUGUCAUUGAUUCUUUGGAUCAACCACGACAACGGUCGUCGUUUCAAGUGCUCUUGACCUACACCGGCGACAAUGGGAUCAUAUAUGUCUACAUGUACUCCUCUGCCACGGAUACUUGGAGCACGCCCACCAAGUUUUGCCAGGCUUCACAACUCAUCAGGUGUGGACCAUUCGCCGGCGUUGUCACCCAUAACACCGUGCACUGGUUGUACAAGGACAGGACUAGUUUCUACACGCUCAAUGUAAACGCUAUCACCACGGAUGUCUCUCUGACCAAGAUCCUGAUCCACGUCGAAGCUUGUCGACAGUGGGGGCGGGUGUUGUUUCCGUGUGUCUCCGGGGAAGGAAAGCUUUCGUUCGUGAGUAUGCGAGACCAUGGCAUAUUAGUGCUCUGGACCAAGCAAGAACAAGAUGACGGCGGCUAUGGCCGUGAGGCUAGCUUAGGAGGGUGGUUGGGCUCCGACCUGAUAAAUCUAGGAAGCAAAGACGAAAUAAACAAUGUCUUCUACGCAGAGAGGAGAGGUGCCAUGCUCAUCGAGCGGUGCGGUGGUUCUUUUUUCACCGUUGAUCUCAAGAGCAAGGAGAAGGCGUCCAUUGAUAUCAAGGGCGAGGACAUGGAGCCUCACAAGGGGUAUUAUAGGUUUCCAAUGUAUCAUUGCAGUAGUACUUGGUGUAAUGGAGUCUACGGUAGGUUCGAUUUCAUCACGCCAGUAUUGUAC
rnacentral:rRNA from 1 species